GUGCUAUGAUGAAACUCAUGCGUGUCAACUGACUCUGUACAACCCUGAAGUCUUUUAGGUUCUGGCUGGCGUUCUGCUUGUUAGAAUCCAAUAAAAGAAGCAGGGAUACAGGGGUAUGAUCAGAUUUUAUUCUGAGUAC